rnacentral:lncRNA from 1 species
CUUUGUCUUAGGGAGCCGAAGCUGCCGCCACAGGGCGAGAGGUUGCGGCAGAUGAAUGAAAGCAUAGAAGCAAGCCUCAGUUCUCUGGAGGUCACAGAAGUUGCAAUAGCCAAGAGCCAACAGCUUCUAGGUCAGCCCUAAGAGCCUGGAGCCCUGUCAGAGGCCAGAACGUGGCUUCUCUGUAUUCUCGUCACUAGACCCCGCCCAGGCGUAGUCGGCUGUGUGCUGACUACCUGUCACUCUGACAGGCCUCCAGGAGCCAGAGCUGCUCAUUAGUGAAGGUCCAUCUCUCAAGCACCUGAGGAUGGAAAUGUCACCCAAGUGAAUGACGAGGUGAGUGACGAAGGCCUCACUGAGGGAGAGGAGUGCCCAUGGACUGCCUGCCAUAGACCAUCACCAAGCACUGACAUUGGAUUUCGCAGUGUGGAGAGCAAAGGAAUUCCUGUCAAGGAUU